rnacentral:lncRNA from 1 species
GGUGUGGGUUAUUCAAAAGGAUCUUUUUAUGUAAUUUUGAAAUGAUAUACAUUUGAUAUUUGAUAGUAAUUGACCGAUUCGAUCCACAAAAAAACCUUUUAUUUUAUUGCUGUUCUUCAUAUUCAAGUUGACAGACAAGUCCUUCAACAAUGAGAAAAUGUAUAAAAAAAUUGUUUAUAAAAAUGUUUUGAUUUGUGUACAUUAAUCUGACUAAUAAUGACAUUCUUUUAUUUCGGAUUCUACCAAAGAGGACAGAAGAAGCAGCCCAAAGUGAAAGACUUGAAGAAAUAUAGGCAAUGUAAGUAGGAUUAAGUGAUUUUGCUGUUUGUGGCGUUUCCUCGAAGUAGCUGGUUUACCUCCAAAUGGGACGACAGUCAUGGAUGUUGAGAUGGCCUACGUCGCAGACUCGCGAGGACGGGCGGCUCAGAUGUUCGCUAGCGACCUACGACAGCUACAGGCUUACUGCCUAUGCCUGUAGAAGGGGACUUUGAGAUGUCAUGCUGAAGUUUUCUGGAGAUUAUCUGGUUUCAUUUUUGGGAAGCAGUCCACAUGGAAAAAUGACGCAGCCAAACUAAAGAUACGCUGGAUUGGUUCUUUCUAAUGUCUGUUAUUAAGAAGCAGGAAAAAUUGAAGAAUAAGAGCGGGAAAAUGUCAAAUUUACUUUGGUCUACAACAAAGAAACCCUUUUAUUUUAUUGCUGUUCUUCAUAUACAAGUUCACAGACAAGUCCUUCAACAAUGAGAAAAUGUUUUAAAAAAAAUUGUGUAUAAAAAUGUUCAGCUGUUUCUUACAGAGUUAUCUCCUAGUGUUAUGUAGGUGUCAGACCACCAAUUACUCCCUCAAAUUUUGAACGUAUGUAAAAGUAGGCCUACUGUAACACAAAAUAGUGCUUUUGAUGUCAUUGUUUACUUAAUUUAACCAACAAAUUCGCAGAAAUGAAACUUUUGGUGAAAGAGAAAUAUAUUUCGACCAUUUUGAGCUAAAAUUCACUUGUCUGUCAGUUUGCAUUAAAAAUUUGGGAUUAAUGCGCUCUAUAGUACACUAAUUUAAGAUUUUCAGAAAACCAGGGGUUAUUUUUGGAGUACCGCUGUUUUGAAGGUCAGAUGUACCAAAUUAAUAGAGAAUUUUGUAACAGAAUAUUAAUCUUAAUUUGAAAACAAUUUGAUAUUGCAGAACAAAUAUCAAAUGAUCAUUUCAGAAAUACAUUGUGCUUCAAGUGCAAAGUCUUUUCUAACAAUUAACAGUUGUUUUCUGAGCUAGUUCUGAUUGGUCAGGUUUUAUUGUCUGUUUCUUGCUUUUGUUCUAUGGAUAGCUAUAUAUAUAGUUCAGUGGUACCUUUUUUUUCAGGAUAUGGUGUGGGUUAUUCAAAAGGAUCUUUUUAUGUAAUUUUGAAAUGAUAUACAUUUGAUAUUUGAUAGUAAUUGACCGAUUCGAUCCACAAAAAAACCUUUUAUUUUAUUGCUGUUCUUCAUAUUCAAGUUGACAGACAAGUCCUUCAACAAUGAGAAAAUGUAUAAAAAAAAUUGUUUAUAAAAAUGUUUUGAUUUGUGUACAUUAAUCUGACUAAUAAUGAUAUUCUUUUAUUUCGAUUCUACCAAGAGGACAGAAGAAGCAGCCCAAAGUGAAAGACUUGAAGAAAUAUAGGCAA